CAGGGUGGUAUCGCCCGGAGCGCGGGCUGGGUGGUGCCGAGCGCGGGCGAGCGGGCCUUUUCCGGCCUCUGCAGCUGCGCGGGCGGGCGUGGUUGCCGGGGACGCGCGGCCCCCGGUCGGGCACUGCAGGCGGCGAAACGACUUGGGAAGGCCCUUUCGGGAGCACGCAUACUUUCCCCAAGAUAGAAGCCCUGGGCCUGGGGGAUUGAGGUGUGGAGAUCUACCUGUCUCACGGCUGCUUGUGACCAUGCAUCUGACUGCCAAUGCUCUGGAGAGCAGAGAGCUCAGUUGAGGUCUGUCAAGAGUCCACUGCAGCUGCUUCACAUUUAAACGGCACGUACAAGAUUAUGAAGCUUUCCUGGCUGCCGAGGAGCUCAGCAGACUUGUUUAAAACUGAGACUGGUGACUGAACGAAAAAAAAUGUGACAGAAACCUGUACUGGGGCCCUUACCU
rnacentral:lncRNA from 1 species